CAACAUGACCUUCAUCAUCAUCUUCAUCUGGACUCUCACAGCGUUUGCUCAAGAGAGUAGAGGACAGAUCAGCGUCACUCAGAGUCCCUCAACAGCAGCUCAACCAGGAGAAACAGUGAAGAUCAGCUGCAAAACCAGCACUGAUGUGUACAGAAGUACAACUUAUUCAGUGUACUUACUCAGCUGGUACUUACAUAAACCUGGAGAAGCUCCUAAACUCCUGAUUUAUGCUGCAAACACUCUCCAGUCAGGAACUCCAUCUAGAUUCAGUGGCAGUGGAUCUAACAGUGAUUUCACUCUGACCAUCAGUGGAGUCCAGACUGAAGAUGCUGGACAUUAUUACUGUCAGAGUGCACACUACAUCAGUAGUAGCUGGGUGUUCACACAGUGA